rnacentral:rRNA from 1 species
UAAUACCUGAGGCCCGAGUGAUGGCCGCUAUUAUUGGGUCUAAAGCGUCCGUAGCCGGUUUGGUAAGUUCCUGGUGAAAUCGUCCGGUAGACUGGACGGCGUGCUGGGAAUACUACUAGACUUGAGACCGGGAGAGGGUGGGGGUACUUAUGGGGUAGGGGUUAAAUCCUGUAAUCCCAUAGGGACCACCUGUGGCGAAGGCGCCCACCUGGAACGGGUCUGACGGUGAGGGACGAAAGCGUGGGUAGCGACCGGGAUUAGAUACCCCGUUAGUCCACGCCGUAAACGAUGCCCGCUUGGUGUUGCCGGCUUCUUGGGAGUCGGCUGUGCCGUAGAGUAGUUGUUAAGCGGGCCACCUGGGGAGUACGUCCGCAAGGAUG